UCGGGUCUCAAAAAUUUUAUU
rnacentral:piRNA from 1 species